rnacentral:rRNA from 1 species
GCUGAUUCCUCCUUUCUGAAGAACUGUAAUGUCAUUAAUUUGGUGUUGCAGGGAAACAGGACUGUUACUUUGAAAUAAUCAGAGUGUUUAAAGCAGGCUAACGCUUGAAUACAUUAGCAUGGAAUAAUGAAAUAGGACGUUCGAUCCUAUUUUGUUGGUUUCUAGGAUUGACGUAAUGAUUAAUAGGGAUAGUUGGGGGCAUUAGUAUUCAAUUGUCAGAGGUGAAAUUCUUGGAUUUAUUGAAGACUAACUACUGCGAAAGCAUUUGCCAAGGAUGUUUUCAUUAAUCAAGAACGAAAGUUAGGGGAUCGAAGACGAUCAGAUACCGUCGUAGUCUUAACCAUAAACUAUGCCGACUAGGGAUCGGAUGAUGUUAAUUUUUUAAUGACUCAUUCGGCGCCUUACG